AACGAACGCUGGCGGCAUGCCUAACACAUGCAAGUCGAACGAGACCUUCGGGUCUAGUGGCGCACGGGUGCGUAACGCGUGGGAACCUGCCCUUAGGUUCGGCAUAACUCCCCGAAAGGGGUGCUAAUACCGGAUAAUGUCUUUGGACCAAAGAUUUAUCGCCUUUGGAUGGGCCCGCGUUGGAUUAGCUAGUUGGUAGGGUAAAAGCCUACCAAGGCGACGAUCCAUAGCUGGUCUGAGAGGAUGAUCAGCCACACUGGGACUGAGACACGGCCCAGACUCCUACGGGAGGCAGGAGUGGGGAAUAUUGGAAAAUGGGCGAAAGCCUGAUCCAGCAAUGCCGCGUGAGUGAUGAAGGCCUUAGGGUUGUAAAGCUCUUUUACCCGGGAUGAUAAUGACAGUACCGGGAGAAUAAGCGCCGGCUAACUCCGUG
rnacentral:rRNA from 1 species